UGGGGAAUUUUGGACAAUGGGCGAAAGCCUGAUCCAGCAAUGCCGCGUGUGUGAAGAAGGCCUUCGGGUUGUAAAGCACUUUUGUCCGGAAAGAAAUCCUUGGCUCUAAUACAGUCGGGGGAUGACGGUACCGGAAGAAUAAGCACCGGCUAACUACGUGCCAGCAGCCGCGGUAAUACGUAGGGUGCAAGCGUUAAUCGGAAUUACUGGGCGUAAAGCGUGCGCAGGCGGUUUGCUAAGACCGAUGUGAAAUCCCCGGGCUCAACCUGGGAACUGCAUUGGUGACUGGCAGGCUAGAGUAUGGCAGAGGGGGGUAGAAUUCCACGUGUAGCAGUGAAAUGCGUAGAGAUGUGGAGGAAUACCGAUGGCGAAGGCAGCCCCCUGGGCAAAUACUGACGCUCAUGCACGAAAAGCGUGGGAAGCAAACAGGAUUAGAUACCCUGGUAGUCCACGCCCUAAAACGAUGUCAACUAGUUGUUGGGGAUUCAUUUCCUAGUAACGUAGCUAACGCGUGAAGUUGACCGCCUGGGGAGUACGGUCGCAAGAUUAAAAACUCAAAGGAAUUGACGGGGUCAUAGCUGUUUCCU
rnacentral:rRNA from 1 species